AGAGUUUGAUCAUGGCUCAUAUUGAACGCUGGCGGUAGGCUUAACACAUGCAAGUCGAGCGGAGAUGAGGAGCUUGCACCUUAUCUUAGCGGCGGACGGGUGAGUAAUGCUUAGGAAUCUGCCUAUUAGUGGGGGACAACAUUCCGAAAGGGAUGCUAAUACCGCAUACGUCCUACGGGAGAAAGCAGGGGAUCUUCGGACCUUGCGCUAAUAGAUGAGCCUAAGUCGGAUUAGCUAGUUGGUGGGGUAAAGGCCUACCAAGGCGACGAUCUGUAGCGGGUCUGAGAGGAUGAUCCGCCACACUGGGACUGAGACACGGCCCAGACUCCUACGGGAGGCAGCAGUGGGGAAAAUUGGACAAUGGGGGAAACCCUGAUCCAGCCAUGCCGCGUGUGUGAAGAAGGCCUUAUGGUUGUAAAGCACUUUAAGCGAGGAGGAGGCUACUGAAACUAAUACUCUUGGAUAGGGGACGUUACUCUCAUAAUAAGCACCGGCUAACUCUGUGCCGCCACCCGCGGUGAUACAGAGGGUGCGAGCGUUAAUCAGAUUUACUGGGCGUAAAGCGUGCGUAGGCGGCUUUUUAAGUCGGAUGUGAAAUCCCCGAGCUUAACUUGGGAAUUGCAUUCGAUACUGAGAAGCUAGAGUAUGGG
rnacentral:rRNA from 1 species